UACGUAGGGGGCAAGCGUUGUCCGGAUUUAUUGGGCGUAAAGAGCUCGUAGGCGGCUUGGCAAGUCGGGUGUGAAAACUCCAGGCUCAACCUGGAGAUGCCACUCGAGACUGCUAUGGCUAGAGUCCGGUAGGGGACCACGGAAUUCCCGGUGUAGUGGUGAAAUGCGUAGAUAUCGGGAGGAACACCAGUGGCGAAGGCGACUUCCCUGGCCUGUUCUUGACGCUGAGGCGCGAAAGGCUAGGGGGAGCAAAACGGG
rnacentral:rRNA from 1 species